rnacentral:rRNA from 1 species
UACGUAGGGUGCAAGCGUUAAUCGGAAUUACUGGGCGUAAAGCGUGCGCAGGCGGUUUUGUAAGCCAGAUGUGAAAUCCCCGGGCUUAACCUGGGAAUGGCAUUUGGGACUGCAAGGCUUGAGUGCGGCAGAGGAGACUGGAAUUCCUGGUGUAGCAGUGAAAUGCGUAGAGAUCCGGAGGAACACCAGUGGCGAAAGCGGCCACCUGGACUGCACCUGACGCUGAAACGCGAAAGCUAGGGGAGCGAACGGG